rnacentral:lncRNA from 1 species
UGUUGCGAGACCGACGGCCUUUCGUGUUGAAUCAAGACGCCUUCCACUCACAGAAGUGCUUCUGACCUAAGUGGAAAUUGAAUUCAGGCCCAGCAGCAGGCGCCAGGAGAGGUUUCCAUAGCAGCUUCCAAAUCGGACACCAAACUUCACUCAGCAGGUAAUUCUGUUCCCCCAGCGCGUGACUUGGGUGUCCCCGUGCCCGUCAAAACCACACCUCACGCAGAGUCCUCCUGCCUUAGAGCCCUACGCCUCCACGCUGGGCCCACCCUCUGCCUCCCUCUGCACCCUGCAUCCUUGCCAGGACGGGGGAGGCUGGCCGGCGGCCACAGCACAUUCCAGAAGGCCAAAUGCAAGGUCUUCCCUGGCUUCCGUGGUGUGCGCUUGGCAUUUUUCAACGACUUCUGUUGGCCAAUGUUCUUUAUGGUAGAACAGGAUGAGCUACAUCAUUUCUGGCUGUGCAAUUUGACAGCUGUCUGUAUGUGAUUUAUAUAUACAAGUGUGUCUAGAGAGAGCGACAUAUAUGUGCACAUGUGUGUGCCCAUGCGCACAAACGUAAUUUUGUGAUGACGGUUGUAUUUAUCCCUGUUUGCUUUACUUACUCCAUAAACUUCAUUAUAAAUUCAAAAAAGAAAAUUGGUCCAAAAUCCAAUCACACCGGCACAUUAACACUGAAUUUUUCAUAUUUCCUUUCUGUUGUUGUCACAGGACAUUGAUAGUUUUCCAUUUCUCCUUUUCCACGUUUCGUCACUUUUCUUGGCGUCCUACAGUUUGUAAAAGGUACAGAUGGCGGCCGCCAUGCUUGCGGGCGCUGAAGGACCCGGUCAAGCCCAAACCAGGUCCUGGGAGCCGUGGACAAGUCUGUCCCCUGGACAGACUGCAGACCCAAGCGCCGCUUCUGGGCGGCCCCAAACGGCCGCGGUCAUCCUUUGUUUCUGCUUCUUCGCCCACCUCGCUGAAUCUCCGUCAGUCUCCAGAGAAGUCUCCGUGCCUUCCCCAGUUCCACCAUCGCCCAAUGACGCGUCUGCAGGUGACACGCUGGCACGUUGUUAACAGGAACAGAGUUGACACCAACUUUUACUCUCCUCUCUCCUCCUCCGAAUCACCUGCCUUUCUCUCCCGGCCUUGA